UACGUAGGGGGCAAGCGUUGUCCGGAUUUAUUGGGCGUAAAGAGCGUGUAGGCGGUCUGGUAGGUCCGUUGUGAAAACUCGAGGCUCAACCUCGAGACGCCGAUGGAAACCCUCAGACUAGAGUCCGGAAGAGGAGAGUGGAAUUCCUGGUGUAGCGGUGAAAUGCGCAGAUAUCAGGAAGAACACCCGUGGCUAAGGCGGCUCUCUAGUACGGUACUGACGCUGAGACGCGAAAGCGUGGGGAGCAAACAGG
rnacentral:rRNA from 1 species